GGGGAUGUAGCUCUGUGGUGCAGCGCCUGCCUGGGAAGCAGGAGGCCCUGAGUUCAAUUCUUGGUACCA
rnacentral:tRNA from 1 species